rnacentral:ncRNA from 1 species
CCAUUGGGUAGAAGCGUUCAAUCAGCACCGUGACGGUGCAGAUGGGAAAUUGCCCAUGAU